CGGGAAACCGGAGCUAAUACGGAUAAUAUUUUGAACCGCAUGGUUCAAAAGUGAAAGACGGUCUUGCUGUCACUUAUAGAUGGAUCCGCGCUGCAUUAGCUAGUUGGUAAGGUAACGGCUUACCAAGGCAACGAUGCAUAGCCGACCUGAGAGGGUGAUCGGCCACACUGGAACUGAGACACGGUCCAGACUCCUACGGGAGGCAGCAGCU
rnacentral:rRNA from 1 species